AGCUCAGUUGGUAGAGCGCUACCUUUGCAAGGUAGAUGUCAGGAGUUCGAGUGUUAUC
rnacentral:tRNA from 1 species